rnacentral:rRNA from 1 species
GCGCACCAGUCGCGAAAACUCUGCAAUACGCGAAAGCGUGACGGGGCCAUCCCGAGUGUCGUCCGCUGAGGAUGGCUUUUCCCUAGUGUAGGUAGCUGGGGGAAUAAGGAGAGGGCAAGUCUGGUGUCAGCCGCCGCGGUAAUACCAGCUCUCCGAGUGGUAGGGAUGUUUAUUGGGCCUGAAGCAUCCGUAGCCGGCUCAACAAGUCCUCCGUUAAAUCCAGCGAUUCAAUCGUUGGAUUGCGAGGGAUACUGUUCGGCUAGGAGGCGAGAGAGGCCAACGGUAUUCCCGGAGUAGGGGUGAAAUCCUAUAAUCCCGGGAGGACCACCAGUGGCGAAGGCUGUUGGCUAGAACGCGCUCGACGGUGAGGGAUGAAAGCUGGGGGAGCGAACCGGAUUAGAUACCCGCGUAGUCC